rnacentral:rRNA from 1 species
GACGAACGCUGGCGGCGUGCUUAACACAUGCAAGUCGAACGGAAAGGCCUUUUCGGAGGUACUCGAGUGGCGAACGGGUGAGUAACACGUGGGUGAUCUGCCCUGCACUCUGGGAUAAGCCUGGGAAACUGGGUCUAAUACCGGAUAGGACCGCACUUUAGUGUGUGUGGUGGAAAGUUUUUUCGGUGUAGGAUGAGCCCGCGGCCUAUCAGCUUGUUGGUGGGGUAAUGGCCUACCAAGGCGGCGACGGGUAGCCGGACUGAGAGGUUGGUCGGCCACAUUGGGACUGAGAUACGGCCCAGACUCCUACGGGAGGCAGCAGUGGGGAAUAUUGCACAAUGGGCGCAAGCCUGAUGCAGCGACACCGCGUGGGGGAUGACGGCCUUCGGGUUGUAAACUCCUUUCGCCAGGGACGAAGCGUUUUGUGACGGUACCUGGAGAAGAAGCACCGGCUAACUACGUG